AUGGAUCCACAACCGAUCUUCGAUUUCGACCUAAACCAGGCGCCUCCUUCGGAUGAUGGCCGCCUCACGGUGGUCGAUGACCGGACGGCUCGUGAACCCUCCGACGGCGGCACGGACGAUGCCUCGACGGCGCCUCGGCAAGAUCCCUUGGCGGCGCGUAAACCCUCACCACCGCCUCCCGGUGUCGACGGAACGGCUUAUGCCUUGACCGGGCGUGAACCCUUACCGCCUCCUCACGGCAUGGGCGGUGGUUCGACCUGGGCGCCGGAGAUGUUGGACCUGGACGUCUCGCUUUCUCUCACGGACGAUGACGAGGACGAGGAGGUGGAGGGUGAGAUCGAAUCGCGGCCGCCGUCUUCCUAUGACUUGGAUGCGCCGCGUUCGCCCGCGCCCGCACACUCGCCGGAGAAGAUGGCGAGAAGCUGCUCUCCUGAGUACCACGCUGAGGUGGCCGUCGCUCCACCCACCGCCAUAGACAUCGGGGCGGCGCGCCCAUUGUCUUGCGUGGACGUGGCGCCGCUUUCUCGCCGCUACGACGGGCGAUCGUCGCGGCCGAACAGCGAGGCGAAGCCAACGCGUCGGCCUUUUCCGGCGCGGUCGUCGUCGGGGUCCAAGGGGACAAGCGACACGUCGUCUCCAACCCUGUCACGGCGCCUCGUUCGCCGUGACGAGGUCACCUCCAACCAUCCCGGCAACUACGACGACGACAUGCUGCCCUCUCACGGAGGAGGGAUGCGCCGCACUCCACCGCGACAUGGGCCGGCAAUGCGCGGCCAGGAGGCGCCUCGAAGGUACAAACCAUACUUUGAACACGAUCAAAGGGGGCAUCGUGGCGACGAAGAGCCGCAUGGUUAUCGAGGCCAUGGACAUCGUGGCCACGAAGCGCAAAACUUUUCAGCGCAGCAGGGUUAUUCUUCGUCAUCCAAGCGGUUCGCGGGACAACGAGCCAGGGAGGAAGACUCGUACGGCGGCCGGCAGAUUCCGGCGCAAGAAGUUCAGGGCGGCAGGUAUCGUCAGUACCGGGAGCCGCCUGGUGCACACUUUCCUGCAGCCAAGCGGCCUUACCAUCAGUACGCCGGUGAAGUCGACGGGAACAAGCAAGCGGGGCGUGAGCACCGGCCGUACCAGCACCGGCGCCAUGGCAAGCAAGAGAAGAAGCCGCAAGCACAGGCAAGAGGACCAGUUGGACGUCGGCGCCAGUAUUAUGAAGACGCGUACACCAACAGCUAG
rnacentral:rRNA from 1 species